rnacentral:rRNA from 1 species
CAAGUCAGCAUGGCCUUUAUAUCCUGGGCUACACACACGCUACAAUGGCCAACACAAUAGGUUGCUAAGCCGCGAGGUGGCGCCAAUCCAUAAAGUUGGUCUCAGUUCAGAUUGUAGGCUGCAACCCGCCUGCGUGAAGAUGGAGUUGCUAGUAACCGCAGGUCAGCUAUACUGCGGUGAAUACGUUCCCGGGGCUU